AAUGUUUGACGCCAUUAACUUUUUUAAACAUGUUUGACCGUUCGUCUUAUUCAAAAAAUUUAAGUAAUUCUUAAUUCUUUUCCUAUCAUUUGAUUCAUUAUUAAAUAUAUUUUUAUGUAGGCAUAUAAUUUUACAUAUUUCACAAAACUUUUUGAAUAAGACGAACGGUCAAACAUGUGCUAAAAAGUCAACGGUGUCAAACAUU
rfam:Oryza sativa (indica cultivar-group) chromosome 5, whole genome shotgun sequence.